rnacentral:lncRNA from 1 species
UUUAUAUGUAAUUUUUUUAGGUUUAUGUUUAUAUAAUUUUAUUUUUUAAAUGGUAAUAUUUAGCAACCAACUCAUAGAUAUUUCUGAAAAUUUAACAAUUGACUCUUAUGAGCCGGCUCAAGACAACACACCACUUUGUCUAUACCAUGUUUUAAUACCUGGUUAGGAGUUCCUUCUCCCUUCCUAAGUUAGCUAGCUCAUCUGGAUAUUACAAAAUACAGAAGAAUCUAUUUGUUUCUUAGGAAAACAAGUUCAAAGUUCAGCAACCCUUGUGGGUACACUCUAUCAGCACCCCAGGAUCCUAACUUCCUUUCUACUCUGCUAAGUGAGCAACCUCAUGGCUCAAAGUGGCUGAUGGAGCACCAGACAUCAUGUCCAUAUGCCAGAGAACAGGAAGGAAGAAGAGAGAAAAGGCAAGCUGAUUGCACUGCUUGGUCUUUCAAGCUGGCCCUGAACUCACUAUGCAGCCCAGGCUGACUUUGAACUUGUGGCAAUCCUCCUGCCUCAGCUUUCUGAAUGCUGGGAUUAUACACAUGCAUCACCUCACUCAGCUACGUUUUUAAUUAAAAAAAAAUAAAAAUAAAAAAGUUUUUGUCGCAUAAAAGUAGAAUUUAAAACUACAAACUAUCUGAAACACUAUGAAUUAUAAAUGCAUGAGAUACUCCUAGCUUUAGAUUUUUUUCAAAAUUUCUUUUUCCUUUCAGACAUUAAUGGCUACAGAAUACAUAUCUCAUGAAGAACUUGUAUGAUUACCU